CUUUGCUUUUAGGUACAGGUGUCCUGACUCUGCUCCUGAAUCCACAGGGUGGAAGCAGUCCAGAAUGGAGCAUCAUUCCCCAGCAACUCAGAGCAGCUGUUGGAGAAGGGAUCAGAAGCAAGAGGCAUCGAGGGAGGGCUCUUCCCAUGCAAGUGUCCUUCUCCACAGCCCAGCUCAGACCUGCAGAAGUGACCUCAGGAUCUCUGGGUUGAGAAAGAAGAAGGAAAAAUGUGACAAGCUCUGCAAUGCCCCUUUGGGAGAAGGGAGCUGAGGUUAUUAAUCCUCUAAUCUGAAUUUUCUCAGCCUCAUGUUUCCAACUUUAAGGGUACCAAGAGCAUCACCAGCCCCCAAAAGUAAUGCAUUUUUGAAAUCUAACAGCUUUCAUGUUCUAACUAGAUAGUGGUUUUUCCCUGGGGAUCUGUUAUCUUCCCUUCUUCCAUGCUUUUAUUUUAAAGUCAAGAAAGAACCUUUGCAAAGGAGUAAAGCCCCAAAAUGAAAACAGAAAAUGAUAACUGAUUUGUUCCCAGAACCUGGGGCUGCACCCUUGUGGGAGAGGUCCCUCAUGGGAAGUGGUGCCAGGGGGAGCUUCUUGCUCCUCCUUUUCUCCAGAGGAUUUUCGUCCUUGCUGCAGAUUAAGGGCUCUGGGAUGCUCCCUGUGGCACAGCCAUUGGAUUUAUAAGAAUGUGAAGGGUGAGAAAAGGCUGGACUGAAAAGAUUUUGCUCUCAUGGGGGCACCUGAAAAUUAUUUUGGGUCUCAACCUUUCCAAAAUCUGGUGUAAAGUGCUGAGAUACCUCCCACCUCUUAGCCUCCUGCAGAGCAGAUCCAGCAUUUGCAGAAGCAGCAGGCAGUCCUGAAUCCACAAAAUCCAGCCUUGAGAGUAUUCAGGGACCUUGUAGGGAAACUGAGGCACUGGGUUUGGCCAGUGGUGGCAAAGGCCCAAAUGUCCUGUAGCUGCUGCAUCUCCUGGUGCUGCAUCUGUUGGUGAGCACAUCUGCAAGGUUUGCAUGCCAAGGUUCCUAGAGAUUAGAUAGAGAGCCUCGUGUAAAAUCACC
rnacentral:lncRNA from 1 species